UUCUCUGUUGGGUAGGUGACUUCUACAGCAGCCAAAUGCAGAUGGAAAUAAUGACAGGUUCCUACAAAAAAAAAAAAAAGUAGAUUGUAGAAGGUGAAAUACUCAAUAAUUAAACCCAGAGGUUGGGAGAGGUGACUUUGUCCUUCUAGAUUUAAAAGAUAACUUGCCCCUUACUCCAACCCACCCUGCAUCCUGAGGGGACAGCACAGUCCUCUGCCAUCCUAGGGGCAGACAACUCAUAUUUUUCUUGUCACUUGGCUCCAGUUCUGGUUUCUGAUAUCUCAUUUGCAUCUUACUUUAAACAGCUUGCUCUUCCUUAUGCUUCCAAUAUGGAGCUUAACUCUUUUUUUUCUUUUGGUGAUAUCAUCCUUCCUUCCCAAACUCCCCAAACCUCCAGUGAGACAUUUGAGUAUGCAGUAGAGUCCACUAAAGACUUGGGGUGAAGUGGAGGCUUGUAUACACAUUAGAUAUUUUUUAUCUGCAUACCUUCUUCCUCUCCCUUUAGCUUCCCAACCCAAACCCAAGAACCCCAAAUCUGGGGGAUAGGGAAGACACAGAUGAUUGUCUUUAUGUAGUUUGAUUAACUGAAGCCCCCUCAUAAAACAAAAGGACCCUUAGCUUUGGGUUUCUGCAAUUAGUAGUACUCAGGAACUGAUAGACUACUUUUUCCAGGGCUGCCGUGGGGGCGAGGGUACCAGGGAUUGAAUUCAGGGGCACUUGACCACUGAUCCAUCCCCAGCCUUAUUUUGUAUUUUGUUUAGAGACAGGGUUUCAUUGAGUUGCUUAGCACCCCGCAUUUGCUGAGGCUGGCUUUGAACUCUUGAUCCUCCUGCCUCAGCCUCCAGAUCUGCAGGGAUUACAGGUAUAAUGCAAAUGUACCCAGCCUGAUAGACAUUUUGAUUUAUCAGUUUUUUAAUUUCCCUUGUACCAAUUGAAGCUAUUCAUGUCACCCCCUUAAAAGGUAAAAGAGUUUCAUUGGGUUUAAAAUAUACUUUAAAAAUCAUUAUUAUAACAUAUAUUUAUUAAUAUGGAUAAGCCCUGUGUGGCUAUCAAUGUAUUGCAUAUGGCAAAAUUAUCACACUGUUUAAGAAUAUGUUUUAAUGUUGAAAACUACAAAGAGAAAAGCAAAAAUUGUCCCAUAAUCUUCUCAGAUUGCCUCCAUUGAUAUAAUAUGCAGAUUUUGAUGAUUUUUCUGGGACUUUCCUUUACUGGGUUUGUCAGAAUUACAGAAUACCCACAGGGAGAAGGAGAAAUGGCACUUUGACCCAAUUCUUGGCACCAGGCUGAAGGACCACACAUCCUGACCUGUGUUCAAUAGUGGAAUGAGAAAUAUCAAGACACAAAUUAGGAGCUGGCUUCGCUAAUAUUCUUGCAAGCCACAGAGGUGAUCAAGCCUUAAAUGGAAGAGGAAUUUGUUGAAAGGAUAUUGGGAACUCACACAACUACUGGGCAGUGUGCAAAACCAGGUUUGAAAAGAAGGCAGACUUCAAGACAGCCACGCAAGGGAGCCCCCAAAGCAUACCCAGACCAAACAUGCCUCCAGAGCCGCUGGGAUUAGAGGUGUGCGCUACCAUGCCUGGCCCUGCCUCUGUGUUCUUGAUCGUAAGAUAUGGUCUCAUUCUGAAGCACAGACUGGAAUAUCCUGGACCCCACACAAUGUUCUCUGAGGCUUCAUAAGAUCCCUCCAUGUGAAGCUGGCCAUGAACACACUGCAGCCUAACUCCUAGGCUGCUGCCUACUCUCUUGUGCCAUGGAUGUUUAUCUGCCAGGGAUGAGCUUUGUUAUAGAUCCUGGCCAAUUUCUGUAUAAUUUCAGUGAUGGCCUGACUCCUUUUACAGUGAUGCUGCAAUGAUGGAUCAUUUAAGCCCUAGCACAGGGCAGAAGAGAGGAUGUGAAAUUGCCCAGGAACUCCACAAGGGUUAGUCUUGACAGCUGGGGUUUUCAGAUAAGAUUCUUGGAAGUUCUUCAGUCACCUCUUCACAGCUGCUAGAAAAGUGAGGAAAAGAUCCUCUUCUUCACUGUUGUCUGCAUCUCUGGUUGAUGUGCAUCAGAUUCAAGGGUCAUCUUCCAAAAGUCACCCUUAAGGUUUUGCUUGGUGCCCUGUCUGGAGCACUAUAUACCUAAUGCAGGUGCAGUUGGUACAAAAGAAGAAUAGGAACCUUUUCCUGCUUAACCAUGAGACUGACUCCUCAUUCUCAGUUCUUAAAGAAAUAAUUCUCAAGAGUGCUGCCCACUCUGACAAAGCCUUUGUUGACAUCUUCUUUCAACAGGUGUAGUUUUUUUUAGAAGAUGACAUGGGAAGCAAGUCUACAGACGUCUCCAUUCACACAACAAUGAUAGCUACAUUGAGAUAACGUAUCUACAGUCUCUUGGGGACAAUGCCAGCACACAGACUUCAAUAUGUGAUUGAAUGUCAGGCUGGAUGGUGGUGCUGGUCCACACCUCUCACAUUCAAGGGUGACUUGUCUCUGGGUUGUUGGGUGUUGGGCUUCCCACAUUUGAUCCAGGGACUUCCAUGCAGGCAAAGAGUCAAAUAGGCACUGGACUUUGAGUUCCUUUAUUGAGUAAUGAGAAGGUAAGUAUUGGUGUAUCUCAAAGAUGGGGAGACAUGGUAGAAAGCUUUCAUGUUUCUGUUGCACUUGGCAACCAGAGGCUGAGCCAUGGGCCCUCCUUCUCUCCUGUGCAUCCUGGACAGCGGUCUCUAUCUAAAGAUACUCUCCCUCUUUCUGGCUUUUCUUUCCCCUCCUGAGAGCCAAAUCCUCUCUAUAUGACUCAUGUAGUCAGUGUAGAGAUAAUUCUUAUGUCAGAAGCAGCAGCCAUUCAUUUGCAAGGAGAGCAAUGACUAUUCAGAAAACAGGUCUCCUCUCAUCAUGCAAAUACCCCUAAUUAAGAAAUCCAGAGUCAGAUUCUGUGUCAUGGAAACAUAAUUUUCUUUGACUCAGAGAGUUUCAGGGAUUGCUGCAGGCUAUGAACCUUUCUUAGUUUCCUGGGUUAAACAGCAUAAUUCUUUGCCCUGAAUUUUCUUGGACAGAAGCAAAUUCAAUCUAACAUUGAUGAAGUAUCUUCCAGGUGCUAGGCUGGCCCGAGUGACUCAAGAAAUAGGAGGGAACAAUGACUGAGUUCCCGCCUUCAAGGAGCUUGCAAAGGAGUCAAAAUCUUUAAAAGGUAAACUCUGUUGUGUGUGUGGAUCCUGAUAGAAAGGUGGAAACUGGAUUUGGACACUGUUAUUGGUUGAGUUGUGUCCCUCCAAAAUUUAUAUGUGUAAGCUGCCUAGUACCUCAGAAUGUGACUUUAUUUGGAAAGAGAGUCUUUUUAAAAUCUUUUUUACCACAUUUAAAAAAUAUA